rnacentral:rRNA from 1 species
UACGGAGGGUGCAAGCGUUAUCCGGAUUUACUGGGUUUAAAGGGUGCGUAGGCGGGCCUUUAAGUCCGUGGUGAAAUCUCCCCGCUCAACGGGGAAACUGCCAUUGAUACUAUUGGUCUUGAAUUUAGUUGAGGUGGGCGGAAUGUGUCGUGUAGCGGUGAAAUGCUUAGAUAUGACACAGAACACCGAUUGCGAAGGCAGCUCGCUACACAUAUAUUGACUCUGAGGCACGAAAGCGUGGGGAGCAAACAGG